GGGACUUCGCCCAACACCGUGCCGUCCUCCUAUUUCUGCAGCUUCACUCUAUCUCUCUAACUCUCAAAUUCUCUCUCUCUAAGUUCCGAGAGCUUCUUGCCUUCUUCCUCUUCGAGUUCUUGACACAUCCAACCCCAAAAUCUUAUAUUUGGAAUCUCUGAGACUCAAGGUUUUAGCCCCUGCAUUUUCUCUGUACCCUUGCCCAGUUUCUUGUGGUCUUCUCUGGGCAAACUCCGACGAGUUUGUGGCUUGUAGCCCUCGAGUCUAGCUUGAACCAAUCCUAGGAUGUAGCGUGAAUAAGGAGAACCCCAGAGGUGACAAGCGGGCUUGGCACUGAGGCAUCCAUCCUCUGGACUUUGGAUGAUGAUAUUCGCAAUUGUAGACAUCUCAUUAGUGCUAGGAGGGGAAGAACAAGAAAAACGCAGUUUAAAAUCCUACACAAAAACCUGUUCAUGCUCCCCACGACACCACCAUAAUCCCUUCCCAUCUCUCAUCUUAUUGCUUUCGUUUCUUUUUCUUCUAAAUGUAGUACUAAGAUGGGAAAACUGUACUUUUAUGCCCCAACUGUGAGCAAUUAACUCUGGCUGUUUUGAGCCCCCAUUACUUCCUCGUCUCGGACAAUUCAUCAAUGAUCUGAGCUUCAGUUUGUAAUUCAUCGCUGCUGUUUAUGUUAUUGUUACCAAUAGUAAUAGUAUUC